CCUACUGGUGACUUCAUUGAGGCAUAUUGGUCAAUGGGCGCGAGCCUGAACCAUCAACGUACCCCCACGUCUUCCUUCCCUCCUUUUUUUCCCCUUCUUUUCUCCCUUCAUCAAGUGAGGCACGUGUGCCUUUUUGUAUGUACUUUAUGAAUAAGGAUCGGCUAACUCCGUGCCAGCAGCCGCGGUAAUACGGAGGAUCCGAGCGUUAUCCGGAUUUAUUGGGUUUAAAGGGAGCGUAGAUGGGUUGUUAAGUCAGUUGUGAAAGUUUGCGGCUCAACCGUAAAAUUGCAAUUGAUACUGGCAGUCUUGAGUACAGUUGAGGUAGGCGGAAUUCGUGGUGUAGCGGUGAAAUGCUUAGAUAUCACGAAGAACUCCGAUUGCGAAGGCAGCUUACUAAACUGCCACUGACAUUGAUGCUCGAAAGUGUGGGUAUCAAACAGGAUUAGAUACCCUGGUAGUC
rnacentral:rRNA from 1 species